UUUUUCAUAAUUUAAAAUGAAUUAUUCUUGUUUCAGAGAUAUAAAGAGAUCAUAAGAAAAAAUGGGAGCAAUCAACAUCGAAUAUUAUCCAGUUGACACGAAUUUCUGGACUGUAGCAGUGUUCGGGCUCGGGUUCACAUUCGUACUAUUUGUUGUUCACUCUAUAUACACACUCUGGAAAUCCAAGGAUCCCAGCACUGUAUACCAACACAACCAAUCCUUAGCAGCUAGCACUCAUAUUUACUGAUAUACACAGCAUAACAGAGGGAACAAGAAGGAUGGUGAAUAACGACAUAAAAACGGAAAAAAUCUUUGAAAAUCAAAAUUAGUUGAUCUCUGUAUAUAAAGUAGUAAUCUCUGUUUGUAUAUCCGAUCAUAACUCAUAAACCCCGUGACUGAUUUGCUUCAAAUUUCAAUUGGUGACAUCAGAAGAACCACAUUAAUGUUUUAUUUAAAAACUAGAAUUAAAAUCUUAAAUUAAGUUAGUUGAGUUUUUUUCCUGGACAACUUAAUUUUCAGGCAAAGCUGGGUUCCCAAACUUGAUGAGAAGUUAAAUGAUAAACGAAAUAUCUAUACUACAUCAUCUAAGAUCCUGAAAAGCUAUAAAUUGGAAUUUUUAAGAACCUUUCACACAUUUGCUAAACUAUUGCAUCAAUUCAAAAAGGUAUAAAAGUAAAUUAUAGGGAUCUAUUAGACUUUUGGCAUGAUAAUAUAUACACUCUGUAUAAUACCCACAAAGGAUAGGACUUCAGAGAUGAGGGCAACAAUUACCCCCCCCCCCAGCUUUCCUUAGAAAACAUUAAAAUUCAUCUAACCUAACAUUGUUUAACAUUCUCCAUUGUUAUUUAAAUAUAUAUUAUAUCAAUAAAAAAUAAUUGUACAAAU